rnacentral:lncRNA from 1 species
AUGUGUGAAUGGCUGUGCAUGUGUUAUAUAUGUUAAUAAUUUUUAAAUUUUUUGUAUAUAUUUUAUUUAUAUAAUUGUUUUGAUUUCUAAAUGUAUAUAUAUGUAAUAUAAUUUAUUUAAAUUUUUAAAUCUUAUAUUUUAAAAUGUAUGUGUUUGUUUUUAUGUAUUUAUUAUUGUAUUUAUAGAAGUUAAUUUGGUAAUGUAUUGUAUUUAUAGAAUUUAAUUUUAUUUAUAUUUAUAGAAUUUAAUUUCAAAUGUAUUUCCUUUUUUGUUUUUCUAUUUAUUUUAUUUUAUUUAUUUUUGUCCUACCAGUUGUUUCAUAUAUAUUACCUAUAAAAAUGUCCAUUUCACAUCCGUUUUUGCAGAGAAAGUGAAUAAAGAAAGCACAAAAGACUGUACAAGUUCUCUCAGCCAUGGACAACAAGAUGAAAAACCUUCACAAGAAGUUGGCAGGAGCACUUCCAAGAAAGCGGUUCCAGGCUCUAGCACUAAAAAUGUUUUCACACGGCUGCUGAAAGUGGCUCAGCAUUACCUUUUGGAAUCGGGGAAGUACAGUGUGCCUGCCAAGAGGAGCCCUGCCCUCGUCCGCCUCCCCAAAACCAGAAUCUCCACCUCCUUCACUCAGGCACAGGGUCGAACCAGGAGGAGCAGUAGCAGGCGUUCCCAGAAUUCCACUCUGGGUGAGGUCAAGAAGGAGCAGCUCUUUUCUCAAGACUCAGACGCAGGUGCUGCUGAAGACAGGCAUGUGCCGCUGAACGAGAGAAACUUCAUCCCCUGCCCAAAGACAGCCAGUCAAGUGCGAGAAUCACAGCUCAUUUGAGCCCACGUGGGACUCGUCAUGAAACAAAGUGUGCUCACUUCAUAACUGCUCAAUGAAGCAUUGUGAUUUGACAAAGCAGGCCCUGCCUGACUCCUCCUUCACUGUCUCUGACCACAUGUUGCUGAUAUGCACUACCAACUUCACACAAGUCAGUGUUAAUGUAUGAAUGUAGGAUUUUCCAAAUCCAGUUUUUUUUCUGACUAUUCCAUAAAUAAUUUAUGGAAUGUCCAUAUUUUAAUGUAGCUUUUAUAGUCAUUUAAUAAAAGAUUAAUUCAUAAUAAACAUUCUUGUUGGCUUCUUGUCUUUUAUUUGUGAAGAUCUGUCUGUCAGUCAUUUUCCUUUUCUCUUUGUCUCUCUAUCCUUCCCCAAGAUGUUUCAAAC